rnacentral:rRNA from 1 species
GCUUAACACAUGCAAGUCGAGCGGGCGUAGCAAUACGUCAGCGGCAGACGGGUGAGUAACGCGUGGGAACAUACCUUUUGGUUCGGAACAACACAGGGAAACUUGUGCUAAUACCGGAUAAGCCCUUACGGGGAAAGAUUUAUCGCCGAAAGAUUGGCCCGCGUCUGAUUAGCUAGUUGGUGAGGUAACGGCUCACCAAGGCGACGAUCAGUAGCUGGUCUGAGAGGAUGAUCAGCCACAUUGGGACUGAGACACGGCCCAAACUCCUACGGGAGGCAGCAGUGGGGAAUAUUGGACAAUGGGCGCAAGCCUGAUCCAGCCAUGCCGCGUGAGUGAUGAAGGCCCUAGGGUUGUAAAGCUCUUUUGUGCGGGAAGAUAAUGACGGUACCGCAAGAAUAAG